rnacentral:rRNA from 1 species
AGUGUAGGCGGGAUCGUAAGUUAGGAGUUUAAUACAUGGGCUUAACCCAUGAGCUGCUUUUAAUACUGCGGUUCUUGAGUAUGGGAGAGGGCGAUGGAAUUCCAGGUGUAGCGGUGGAAUGCGUAGAUAUCUGGAAGAACACCAGUAGCGAAGGCGGUCGCCUGGCCCAAUACUGACGCUGAUGCUCGAAAGCGUAGGGGAGCAAACAGGAUUAGAUACCCUGGUAGUCCUAGCCGUAAACGAUGGACACUAGUUGCUGGAGGAGUCAAUCCUUUCGGUGACGAAGCUAACGCAUUAAGUGUCCCGCCUGGGGAGUACGUUCGCAAGGAUGAA